AUUGAACGCUGGCGGCAUGCCUUACACAUGCAAGUCGAACGAGUGGCGCACGGGUGAGUAAUACAUCGGAACGUGUCCUAUCGUGGGGGAUAACUGAUCGAAAGAUCAGCUAAUACCGCAUACGAUUGGAGCGGCCGAUGCCCGAUUAGCUAGUUGGUGAGGUAAAGGCCCACCAAGGCGACGAUCGGUAGCUGGUCUGAGAGGACGACCAGCCACACGGGGACUGAGACACGGCCCAGACUCCUACGGGAGGCAGCAGUGGGGAAUAUUGCACAAUGGGCGCAAGCCUGAUGCAGCCAUGCCGCGUGGAUGAAGAAGGCCUUAGGGUUGUAAAGUACUUUCAGCGGGGAGGCGUUACACGCAGAAGAAGCACCGGCUAACUCCGUGCCAGCCGCCGCGGUAAUUC
rnacentral:rRNA from 1 species